rnacentral:rRNA from 1 species
UCUCCGUUGGUGAACCAGCGGAGGGAUCAUUACCGAGUUUACAACUCCCAAACCCAAUGUGAACGUUACCAAACUGUUGCCUCGGCGGGAUCUUCUGCCCCGGGUGCGUCGCAGCCCCGGACCAAGGCGCCCGCCGGAGGAAUCAACCAAAACUCUUAUUGUAUACCCCCUCGCGGGUUUUUUUAUAAUCUGAGCCUUCUCGGCGCCUCUCGUAGGCGUUUCGAAAAUGAAUCAAAACUUUCAACAACGGAUCUCUUGGUUCUGGCAUCGAUGAAGAACGCAGCGAAAUGCGAUAAGUAAUGUGAAUUGCAGAAUUCAGUGAAUCAUCGAAUCUUUGAACGCACAUUGCGCCCGCCAGUAUUCUGGCGGGCAUGCCUGUCCGAGCGUCAUUUCAACCCUCGAACCCCUCCGGGGGGUCGGCGUUGGGGAUCGGCCUUCCUUCACGGGGGCCGUCUCCGAAAUACAGUGGCGGUCUCGCCGCAGCCUCUCCUGCGCAGUAGUUUGCACACUCGCAUCGGGAGCGCGGCGCGUCCACAGCCGUUAAACACCCAACUUCUGAAAUGUUGACCUCGGAUCAGGUAGGAAUACCCGCUGAACUUAA